UGUGCAACGUUUGCCCAUUAUUCAUUUCUAAAUUCUUCAAGCUCUGUCCAAUUGGUUGCUGAUUAUUGCUCGAUAGCCGUUUUCAUGUCUUGCCAUAGAUUUUCAAGAAGAUUUAUGUCAAAACUCGGUCAGUCAGGAACAUUCUCUGUCUUCUUGGUAAGCAGCUCCAGUGUAGAUUUGUCCUUGUGUUUUAGGUUAUUAUCCUGUUGAAAGGUGAAUUAAUCUCCCAGUGUCUGGUGGAAAGCAGACUGAACCAGGUUAUUGUCCUGCUGAAAGGUGAAUUAAUCUCCCAGUGUCUGGUAGAAAGCAGACUGAACCAGGUUAUUGUCCUGCUGAAAGGUGAAUUAAUCUCCCAGUGUCUGGUAGAAAGCAGACUGAACCAGGUUAUUGACCUGCUGAAAGGUGAAUUAAUCUCCCAGUGUCUGGUGGAAAGCAGACUGAACCAGGUUAUUGUCCUGCUGAAAGGUGAAUUAAUCUCCCAGUGUCUGGUGGAAAGCAGACUGAACCAGGUUAUUGUCCUGCUGAAAGGUGAAUUCAUCUCCCAGUGUCUGGUGGAAAGCAGACUGAACCAGGUUAUUGUCCUGCUGAAAGGUGAAUUCAUCUCCCAGUGUCUGGUGGAAAGCAGACUGAACCAGGUUAUUGUCCUGCUGAAAGGUGAAUUCAUCUCCCAGUGUCUGGUGUAAAGCAGACUGAACCAGGUUAUUGUCCUGCUGAAAGGUGAAUUCAUCUCCCAGUGUCUGGUAGAAAGCAGACUGAACCAGGUUAUUGUCCUGCUGAAAGGUGAAUUCAUCUCCCAGUGUCUGGUGUAAAGCAGACUGAACCAGGUUAUUGUCCUGCUGAAAGGUGAAUUCAUCUCCCAGUGUCUGGUGGAAAGCAGACUGAACCAGGUUAUUGUCCUGCUGAAAGGUGAAUUCAUCUCCCAGUGUCUGGUGUAAAGCAGACUGAACCAGGUUAUUGUCCUGCUGAAAG